CUAUGGUAACAUGAUACCUACUUGAUGAGGGUGUUGUGAGGCCUAAUUAAAGUCCUUUGAGACCCUCCAGUGAAAGGAGACAUAGACUUGCAAAGAAUUUUUUCCCCCUCAUCAUUGCUCAGUGUACUAACAUAUGAACCUCACCUCCACUUCUGACCUGCUGGCUUUAGAAGUACAGGGGUUCCACACUAUCCUGGCCACAAAUUCUGCUCUGCUGUGAUGAUCCUGAGAAACCACAAAUACCACUGGAGUCCUACUGGAGCAUGGAUCUUGCCAGUAGGUAGGAGAAUCUCCAAUGGACUUCAAUGAAAACAAAAUUGAACCCCCUCAGCAUCAGCAGCCUCUCAGUGAGUCCACGUUAACCCUGCCAUUGUCUUCUGCAAACACACCAUCAGUGUGCCUUCUGUGCUUGCAAUGGCGGCUGACCCGAACAAGCCUUUUGCAAAGCCCGCUGCUUCACGGUCAUGGGAGCCCAGCCAGAUUUUGGUGAAUCUCUCGUGCGAGGCCAGCAAAACCGUGGACUUCAGAAAGAGUACCAGGCAUGACCGUGCAUCCCAGCAAAGAAACUGACAACACUCCCAAUUUACCAGACCGGUAACCAGUGCAGGAUGUGGAUUAAGUUGCUCAAGAGCUAGUACCGGAAAAACUGGGAAGCAGAAAACAGACUCCGGCAAGUCACCCACGUUGUGCCCAUUUUAUGAGGCGUUUUACGGGAUGUUGGGCGCUGUGCCCAGCACGGAGCCAACGGAGGUGCAUGAUGACCUGGUCAGCCAGGAUGGUGCCCUAUUGGCUUCAGAAUCCAACAUGGGCACUGACGGGAGCCAGCAGCGAGGGAGGACCAUGAAAUCACUAGGUUGCUGAAACUGGUUUCAGAGCAGGCUUUGGAACAGGGGCAGCAGCAGCACGUUCUGGGUCCACACUCAGAGAAGCUGUUUGAUGCCCCGCUGGAAGAACAGCGCCCUGCAGAGCCUGCAGCAGACACAGAAGCCGCCCCUGAGCCCAGUAAGUUUAUGGAUCCGUUAUAAACUUUGAUAAUACUGUAAUGGCGGUGAUUUCCACUCUACGAACCAAUGCAAAAGUGGUGAGACGCUCCAGCUAGCAGUAUGUAUCUGCUGAUGGUGGAUUGUAUCCUAGCGCCUUGGUGUCCCUCCUUCCCACCCACCAUAUGUUGUUCAAAAUGGGGACUGGCAAAUACAAACAGUAAAUAAGCGCUUUAAAGUGAAUUUUUACUGGAAAGAUGCAGAUUUUUGCUAGAGCCAUUCCUGUUUCUUAGAAAUAACAACCUUCCAUUGCCAUGCCUUUAAGUUUGCUGUUCUGCAACCACUCCACGGUCUGUCAACAACCUGGAAACAGUGAACUCGAGAGGUGGGGGGGGAGAGAAAUGUGUUCCAUUUACAAAUCUAGUCCAUUUCGGCAGUCCAUAGGUGACAAGAUCAUUUGUCCCAAGUAUGAUGGGUAUUUUGAGUUUUUAAUCCAGAAACGUGCCGGCUGUGAAGUUUUGCGUGAUUGCAUGCAGCCAGGACAAGGUAAGCCAUGUAGAAGCUAAUGCAGCAUCCUGUUGAUUCCCUCAUAAAUUCUGACCCAAUCCCAGCUGCUGAUAGCUGUAAACUUUUUCUGAAACAGGAACUCCAGAUAGGUAUUCACAUUUUGGGGAAGGACGUAUUUUCCAGGUCCACCUCAUUAGCUCCCCAGCCCCUCUCAACUCAUAGAUGUGCUACUCAGUCACUAAACUUUUUAAUAAUUGGGCUGUAUAUCCUGCAGGUUGCCCACCAUCAGUCCGAAACAACAUCUCCCUUUGCCAGUUGGACGCCACAAGAACAGUUAUGCUGUGCAAAAGGUGAAAGGCCUGAAAUGAUAGAAAAAGCUUUGAUAAAAGGCUACUGAUUGCUUUUCUUUUCUUUUCUUUUUUUUUUUGCUUCCCCCCCCCCGCCCAAAGUAUUUCUGAAAAUUUUUAGAAAACUAAAAAAGGAGCCUUGAAUUUAUAAUUUACAACUGUCUCUGCACUUAUUUCAGUGCAAUUAACCAGGCUGUGUCCAGGGAACUUCUGUGGACUGAAGCCUCCCUGUCACAAUAUACUGAAGUUCAGUUUUGUAAAACAACUUUUUAUGUCCUUGACAUUCCACAAUAAUUAUUUUUGUGCUCCUGCACUGAGCUGUGUAAGACAAUAACCUUGUGUGUCACAUCCUGUUCACGGCCCCUCGACCGCUACUGGAUGCUGUACCUCCACAACUUGUCCAUAGUAGUACAAGCCUGGGCCAAUGGACCUUCAUGGACUAUGUCAAGAGGAAGUGUUUCCAUGAUGAACCUUGUGGUUGAAGUUCUGGAUAGGGACACCAAGUGGGUCCAGUACCCAAAACAGAGGGACUUGUGGCUGGAGCAAAGGCAUGCCAACAGGCAAGAGGAAAGGCAAGCCUGGCUGCACAGUUUGAGGACAGGGUUUCAGUGCGGGAGCAGGUCCUGGCUUUGCAGUUCCUGGAACAGGACGGAGCUCAGCAGAGAGAACUGAGUGGCUCAUCUCAACCAGGGCUGCAAAAGUACUGGCUCCUGCUGCCUCUCCCCCAUCACAGCCUGUGUCUCCUGCAAUGUACCCUCAGUCCAGAAACAGUUUCUGGGUGGCCCAUGCAAUCGGGGCCCAGGAGGGGCUAGGCAGGACACCAGAGCCUCAUGCACUCCUCCAUCUUGGCCCUCCCCCCCUCCUUCCCUGUGGUUGCCUCCAUCCUCCUCCAUUGGCACCAUGUGCCCAGAAAACAGGGAAAGGGAGCUAGGGGACAUGCAACGGUAGGGACUGUGUCGUGUACUGGGUUUCACGGUUUACACUUGUUCCUGCGUUUUUGUUUUGGAAAGGUUCUGUUGUAAGUGGUGUUUUGGUGUGGUAAUGGCAGCAGGCCUGUCUGGCAACAGGUGAGUAUUGUGCUGUUUAUAAAUAAAGCUUUGUAUGUCAAAGAUCAGCGCCAUCACUGCAUCUCAUCAUACAAUCUGUAUUUGAAAUAAUAAAGGCAAACGCAUCACCAGGAACAACUAGAAAUUAGUAAGCAAACACCAUUCCUCUAUGCAGUUAGGUACAGCAGUCCACACUUCAGUCACUUCCUUAUCUGAAUCCACACUGUUAAACAUCCCCACCCCAAGUUUCAUAAUUCAGCAUGUCAUUCACACGUAAACUGCAUGGCA